GAUGAACGCUGGCGGCGUGCCUAAUACAUGCAAGUCGAGCGAACGGACGAGAAGCUUGCUUCUCUGAUGUUAGCGGCGGACGGGUGAGUAACACGUGGAUAACCUACCUAUAAGACUGGGAUAACUUCGGGAAACCGGAGCUAAUACCGGAUAAUAUUUUGAACCGCAUGGUUCAAAAGUGAAAGACGGUCUUGCUGUCACUUAUAGAUGGAUCCGCGCUGCAUUAGCUAGUUGGUAAGGUGACGGCUUACCAAGGCAACGAUGCAUAGCCGACCUGAGAGGGUGAUCGGCCACACUGGAACUGAGACACGGUCCAGACUCCUACGGGAGGCAGCAGUAGGGAAUCUUCCGCAAUGGGCGAAAGCCUGACGGAGCAACGCCGCGUGAGUGAUGAAGGUCUUCGGAUCGUAAAACUCUGUUAUUAGGGAAGAACAUAUGUGUAAGUAACUGUGCACAUCUUGACGGUACCUAAUCAGAAAGCCACGGCUAACUACGUG
rnacentral:rRNA from 1 species